rnacentral:rRNA from 1 species
AGAGUUUGAUUAUGGCUCAGGAUGAACGCUGGCGGCGCGCCUAACACAUGCAAGUCGAACGGUUAAAGCCCCUUCGGGGGUGCAUAGAGUGGCGAACGGCUGAGUAACACGUGGGCAACCUGCCCCUCGCACCGGAAUAGCCACCGGAAACGGUGGGUAAUGCCGGAUACGCCCUCCUGGUCGCAUGGCCGGGAGGGGAAAGCCCCGACGGCGAGGGAUGGGCCCGCGGCCUGUUAGCUAGUUGGUGGGGUAACGGCCCACCAAGGCCAUUAUGGGUAGCUGGGUUGAGAGACCGACCAGCCAGAUUGGGACUGAGACACGGCCCAGACUCCUACGGGAGGCAGCAGUGGGGAAUCUUGCACAAUGGGCGAAAGCCUGAUGCAGCGACGCCGCGUGCGGGACGAAGGCCUUCGGGUUGUAAACCGCUUUCAGCAGGGACGAGGCCGCAAGGUGACGGUACCUGCAGAAGAAGCCCCGGCUAACUACGUGCCAGCCGCCGC